rnacentral:siRNA from 1 species
UGGGUCCUUGUUAAUUAUCAUCAC